rnacentral:rRNA from 1 species
ACGUAGGGCGCAAGCGUUGUCCGGAAUUAUUGGGCGUAAAGAGCUCGUAGGCGGUUUGUCGCGUCUGGUGUGAAAACUCAAGGCUCAACUCCGAGCUUGCAGUGGGUACGGGCAGACUAGAGUGCAGAAGGGGCAACUGGAAUUCUCGGUGUAGCGGUGGAAUGCGUAGAGAUCCGGAAGAACACCGGUGGCGAAGGCGGUUAGCUGGGCAGUUGCUGACGCUGAGGCGCGACAGCGUGGGGAGCAAACAGGA